rnacentral:rRNA from 1 species
UACAUGUGGGGCAAGCGUUGUUCGGAAUUACUGGGCAUAAAGGGUGCGUAGGCGGCUUGCCAAGUCGCAGGUGAAAGUUUUCGGCCCAACCGGAAAAGUGCCUGCGAUACUGGCGAGCUUUGAGUGCGCGAGGGGUUGGGGGAACGAGCAGUGUAGCGGUGAAAUGCGUAGAUAUUGCUCGGAAGGCCGGAGCCGAAGGGGCCCAACUGGUACGCAACUGACGCUGAGGCACGAAAGCGUGGGGAGCAAACAGG